UUCACUUAUGGCCAAAUCUAAUAUGGCAGCUGGAAAAGGCAAAGGAUCUUUUUAAUCUAACCAAGCUAUACAACUUAAUAAAAGUUUGUGCAUCGACUUCUCACGAAUCAUACACAGAGUCGAUUGUCGAUGCAAUAAUUACUGAUUCGUGAAAGCCGGCAACUUUUGCUUGUCUUAAAGUGCCUUAAAUCCAACAGAUAUCAUCGUUAUAAUAUUAAUUUGUUUGUAAAUUGUUUUAAAAAAUAAAUUUAAAAAUAACUUUUAAA